UUAUAUAUAUAUUUUUUACAUGUUUUUGUUACAUUGUCAUUUAGGCUACGUUUGGCAUCAUCAUCACUUUUUAUUUGAAAAAAGAAAAUAGAAAUUCUCUCUCUAUUUUUUUUCAGAUUUCUGACAAUAAAAAAUAUGUUUAGUUUUUUUUUUUUUUUUUUUAUAACUUUUUUACAAUGAAGAUUGGCAACAAGGCUGGUGAUUAGGGAGAGGGAUGGGGGAUGGGGCCGACGAUAUGGUCUAGGAUGAGGGACAGCUCAAUAUUGGGUGGAGAGGUAGUCAAGGGAGUGUCAGCUGGGGGACAAGGCAGCAUCAGUUGGUGAGUUUUGGGGAACUAGCAUGGUUGAGCGAGGGAGGGCAAUGGGGUUGCGGGUGAGAUCAGGCGAAAUUAAGAGGGAUCAAGAGGAGAAGGGUGAAAACCCACUUUUAAGAAAAGUGGAAGUGAAUUCAGAAAUAUUGGAAGUUGUUUUAAAAAAACUAGAAAAAGAAAUUGAGUAAUCAAACAUAUUUUUCGCAACAGAUUUCGUAUUUCUAUUUAGAGAAAAACAAAAGAAUAGUACCGAUUUGUUCUUUGGAAAAAAAAAAAAAAACAUUCAAUUUCACAAUCACCCAAAGUGUUUUUCAGUAUGCAUGUCUUUCUCUGUGAAAAUUUAAGAUCGAAAGAUGGUUGAAAGACAAUAACUAGUGCCACAGCAAAUCUAAAAAUUAAAAAGAAAUAAAUGUGGCAACAAGUGAAGUGGAUAUUCUAAAACAAAAUGAAGGAAAGAUUAAAACAAGGAAAAGAGAUUGUAUUCUAAUCAAACAAUAUUUGUAAACCCUAAACUUCAGAUAAUGAAUCAUUUGAUGGUGGUCUUCAAUCUGUGUUUCCUUAUUCUCUUUAGUUCAUCGGACACUAGUUGUAUUAACCCAGCCCAUACUGAGAUUAUUAACGGGCUGGGCCUGGUCCACUUGACCAGGUAAUGGCUCAGAAUCGGAAAAAAAAAAAAAGGUAAAAGAGAUAGGAAGAAGACGCCCAUUGAUGAGAUUAUUUCGUGGGAGGAAGCCGACAUCGAGGAGGACUUGGUUUCUUCCCUUCGGCUCUAUUUAAAGGGAAGAAACUUCUUGGACCUUCCCAUCAAAGAUCCAAGCCCCAAGUUAAAGAGCUCUAGCAUUCUCAUUGGUCUUCAUGGGACACCACCCACCACUGUCGCAGUCGUAGCACAGCUGGAAAUGAGAUAAAAUGUGCAGAGACCUGAGCUUUUUUUCGUCUCAAACAUACACAUGCAAAUACAUGCACACAUACGUGAAACUUAAGCCUAUUUGCUGGUUCAAGCUUGAGUUGUAUAUUUUCGAACCGGCCUUGAUUUGAGCUUUUCUCGAGCUGAACUCGAUCUGAGCUCUGGCUGUUCAGUUCGUUUGACAGCCCGAUGCUUGAGGCCGUGAUGAUUAAUCUACCAGCACGCAAUCUUUAGCCUCAGCUAGUCUUCAUGUGUAGCAGUUUGGAAACCAGAUUGAGUACUGCAUUGGUUGCAUAGCAGCAUUCUUGAAACUCUGCAACAGUAGCAAGGCAGUUUGGAUGGUCUGCUGCUGCUCUGCGGGCAACUUGGUUGGCACCAUUUGUUGAGAGGAUGGUGUGACUAGGUUUCUGAUGGAGAUGAAAAACUUAUGUCUCAUAUAUUGAUUUCUAGCACACGGAUCUUCCAAACCUCACUGCCUGUAUCCGUGAGAUUGGGUGGUUUCUUUCAAAAUAUUUUUUUCAUUUUCCAUCUCAAUGCGCAUUUGUACGUACAACUUUGCUAGACAUGUAUAUAUUUGAGUUGGACUGAUUUUUUGCUCUGCUUGAAA